rnacentral:rRNA from 1 species
GACGAACGCUGGCGGCGUGCUUAACACAUGCAAGUCGAACGGUGACCUCGAGAGCUUGCUCUUGGGUGAUCAGUGGCGAACGGGUGAGUAACACGUGAGGAACCUGCCCCAGACUCUGGAAUAACCCCGGGAAACCGGAGCUAAUACCGGAUAUGACAUCAGGCCGCAUGGUCAUGGGGUGGAAAGUUUUUCGGUCUGGGAUGGCCUCGCGGCCUAUCAGCUUGUUGGUGAGGUAGUGGCACACCUAGGCGACGACGGGUAGCCGGCCUGGGAGGGCGACCGGACACACUGCGAAUGAGACACGGACCAGUCUCCUACGGGAGGCAGCAGUUGGGAAUAUUGCACAAUGGGCGAAAGCCUGAUGCAGCGACGCCGCGUGAGGGAUGACGGCCUUCUGGUUGUAAACCUCUUUCAGUAGGGAAGAAGCGCAAGUGACGGUACCUACAGGAGAAGCACCGGCUAACUACGUGCCAGCAGCCGCCGCAGUAA